AGUAGUGUCAGCUAACAAAGCUAUCGGGCCCAUACCCCGAAAAUGACGGUUCAACUCCCUCCCCUACUA
rnacentral:tRNA from 1 species